rnacentral:rRNA from 1 species
AUGGCCGCGUCCCAGAGCUCAGCAACGAGGACGGCCUCUACCUGCGCCCCGGAGACUGCGCAUGGGACGCACCUAUUCAAGAUCCAAGGGUACAGCCUGUACAGAGGCUUCGGCGUCGGCAAGGUCAUCCAGUCCGCUACCUUUGCUGUCGGCGGCUACGACUGGUGCGUCCACUUGUACCCUGACGGUGAAACGGAAGACCAUAAAGAUUGGUUGGCUGUCGACCUCCUGCUCCAGACUGAUAACACUGAGGUGAGGGCGCUCUUCCAUAUUUGGCCGGUCGACCAGGCCACACAGCCUCCCGCGAAGUGUGAACUUGGAAGGUAUAUUAUGGACGACAUUCUUCUCAUCGAGUGCAGUCUUACAGUGAUCAAGUUCAAGGAGGCACAGGUGGUGGAUGCCAAGAUUAACGCCGAGGUCCAAGUGCCACCGUCCGAUGUGGUGGAUAACCUCGGUACAUUGCUGGAGGCUACAGAGGGAGCAGAUGUGUCUUUCAAGGUCAAAGUCAAACAUGAGGUUUUCCCAGCUCAUAAGAUCAUCCUCGCAAUGCGGUCGCCGGUCUUUAGAGUGGAGUUCUACGGGCCACUCAAAGACGAACAAAGGCACAGCAUAACCAUUGAAGAUAUGCAACCCACAACUUUCAGAGGACUGCUUCACUUCAUUUACUAAGAUACGUUGCCUCUGUUGGAUGACCUCAACUCUGAUGAGUAUCAAGAAUUGCUUAGGCAUUUACUUGUUGCUGCAGAUAUGUAUGGUAUGGAAAGGAUGAAGUUGAUGUGUGAGAGAAAACUUUGCGAGGUUCUUUCUACUGGGACUGUGGCAACCACCUUAGCUCUAGCUGACCAGCAUCAUUGCAGCAAGCUCAAAGAUGCUUGCAUUGAAUAUAUCAUCUCGUCGAACAGAAAGGUUGAUGUGAUGGCAAGUAAAGGGUAUGAGCACCUGAAAAGGACUUGUCCUACAAUCAUUGUUGAUAUAUGGGAGAAAGCAGCUAACACCACAAAUUUUAGUAUGCUGACUGUGGAUUAA